GACGAACGCUGGCGGCGUGCUUAACACAUGCAAGUCGAACGGAAAGGCCUGCUUUCCCUUGUGGAUUGCGGGUACUCGAGUGGCGAACGGGUGAGUAACACGUGAGUGAUCUGCCCCCAACUUGGGUAUAAGCCUGGGAAACUGGGUCUAAUUCCCGAUAGGACUGCAGGGUGGUGCCUGUGGUGGAAAACGAUUUUCUAGUGGUUGGGGAUGAGCUCGCGGCCUAUCAGCUUGUUGGUGGGGUAAUGGCCUACCAAGGCGGCGACGGGUAGCCGGCCUGAGAGGGUGGACGGCCACAUUGGGACUGGGAUACGGCCCAGACUGCUACGGGAGGCAGCAGUGGGGAAUAUUGCACAAUGGGCGGAAGCCUGAUGCAGCGACGCCGCGUGGGGGAUGACGGCCUUCGGGUGGUAAACUCCUUUCGACCGCGAGGAAGCCACCUGGUUGGAAGGGUGGUGACGGUAGUGGUAGAAGAAGCACCGGCUAACUACGUG
rnacentral:rRNA from 1 species